rnacentral:tRNA from 1 species
UCCCAGGUGGCUUAGUGGUAAAGAAUCUGCCUGCAGUACAGGGGAUGCAGGAGAUUCAGGUUCAAACCCUGGAGUAGGAA